rnacentral:lncRNA from 1 species
GACCUGCAGCACCUCCCGCGGCUUGAGCAUUCUAUCAGCAGUUUGUUUCAACAGUCUUUUCGUCGAAUUUGCUGGUUGUACAAAUUUGGCAAACGUCUCUUCGUUAGAAGGGAAAUUGAGAAAUGGGUGUUCAAAGCAUGCUCAUGUUGACUGCAAUAUUUCUCCUGAGACUGCCAGGUGUUCAGUGUAGCGUGAGUGUGACCUACUCCUCCACACAAGUCUGUGGCCUUAAAGGGGCAUCAGUGGUCCUGCCUUGCAAAUAUUUCUAUUCAUGGGCUCAUAU